GCUUACGGCCACACCUCCCUGAGAGCGCCCGAUCUUGUCUGAUCUCGGAAGCUAAGCAGGGUCGGGCGCGGUUAGUACUUGGAUGGGAGACCGCCUGGGAAUACCAGGUGCUGUAAGCC
ensembl:rRNA 5S_rRNA 5S ribosomal RNA